ACCCUCUCCACUCUCCCUAGUCACGUGACCGCCACGGUCCAAUCAGCUGCGCUCAUAAGCAGGAAGUGGCCAGAAGACAGAUUUGUAUUUCUGCUCCAGAGGCGACUACGACUACCAGCGCUGGAUGAAGUUGUGUGUGUGUGUGUACGACUACCAGCGCUGGAUGAAGCUGUCAUGAAGUUGUGUUGGCCAGGCUGCUCUUUUGGAUGGCGAGCUAAGGAAAAGAAGCAUCUAGUCCAAGGAUGGUUCUUGGAAGAUUCCAGCCAGGGACCCCACCACCUGUUCUGAAACAUGGAGGUGUGGCUGCUGCAGGUGCACCAACAAAUCCUUCACUAAAAAAAGGGGCAGUCUUCAGUAGGUCUCUGAAUCCGAGUCAUUCAGUUCAUCGUCAGCAGAGAGCAAGGACAGCGGGUGCUCCGGCCUGCAGUACGCAGCCCGGUCGGGCCUCAGAGCAGGCAGGGCGUCAAAGGCCACACCCUUUGUGACGUGAUUGGUCGCCAGGUGGUGCUUGAUCACCGUGUGAGGCAGCGAGAACACAGGCAACGUUGCUGUGGUGACCAUGGGGGAGGCGGGCAUCAUGGAGUGCAGGAUGAGCGCCAAGCAGUCGGCCACGUCGCGGGUGGGGGCGCAGGCCAGAGCGGGCGUGUAACCUAAAGAGAGGAGAAGUGGAAGGAGAGACCACUGAGCUGCUUUCUUUCAUCCAACAACUGUUUAAAACCUAACAAGGCCAACCGUUUUCAUCCACCGCUUGCACGCUUGCUCCUUUGCCCAGAAGUUCCUGGACCACCACCGUUAAACCUUUCCUGGCGGCGACGUGGAGCGGCCUGCAGGGAAAGCCAUUCAGGAGAGCGAUCAGAGAGUAGAUGAGAUGACAUGACCACACGUACGUGCGCAGAGAGGCGUUGGUGCAGUUGAUGAGGUUUUUAUCGCUGAUCUUCUCCAGGAUCAGCAAGGCACACGUCUCGUGACCCUGAGGGCAGAAGAUGGCCACACAACUGGUGAAAAAAGCAACCACGCUUUGGACAAAUUUGACCUGUUUGUUACUAUUUCAUCCAUCAACCAGGUGGUCUAAAUAAUAAUAGCCAAAU